UACGAAGGGGGCUAGCGUUGUUCGGAAUCACUGGGCGUAAAGGGCGCGUAGGCGGCUUUAUAAGUCGGGGGUGAAAGCCUGUGGCUCAACCACAGAACUGCCUUCGAUACUGUAGAGCUUGAGACCGGAAGAGGUAAGUGGAACUGCGAGUGUAGAGGUGAAAUUCGUAGAUAUUCGCAAGAACACCAGUGGCGAAGGCGGCUUACUGGUCCGGUUCUGACGCUGAGGCGCGAAAGCGUGGGGAGCAAACAGG
rnacentral:rRNA from 1 species